GCUGGGCGUGGGCGUGGUGGUGUGUGCCUGUAGUCCCAGCUACUCGGGAGGCUGAGUUGGGAGGAUUGUUGGAGCCCAUGAGUUGUGGGCUGUAGUGUGCUAUGCCAAUUGGGUGACCGCACUAAGUUCAGCAUCAAUAUGGUGAUCUCCUGGAAGCGAGGGACCACCAGGUUGCCUAAGGAGGGAUGAACUGGCCCAGGUCGGAAAUGGAGCAGGUCAAAACUCCUGUGCUGAUCAGUAGUGAGAUGGCUCCUGUGAAUAGCCACUGCACUCCAGCCUAGGCAACAUAGCGAGACCCUAUCUCUA
ensembl:misc_RNA Metazoa_SRP Metazoan signal recognition particle RNA